rnacentral:tRNA from 1 species
UGGCUCAGUGGUAGAGUACUUGCCUCACAUGCAUGAGGCCCUGAGUUCUAUUCCUCAG